rnacentral:rRNA from 1 species
CCUACGGUAGGCUGCAGUGGGGAAUAUUGGACAAUGGGCGAAAGCCUGAUCCAGCCAUGCCGCGUGUGUGAAGAAGGCCUUCGGGUUGUAAAGCACUUUCAGUGGGGAAGAAAGCCUUGGGGCUAAUACCCUCGAGGAAGGACAUCACCCACAGAAGAAGCACCGGCUAACUCCGUGCCAGCAGCCGCGGUAAUACGGAGGGUGCGAGCGUUAAUCGGAAUUACUGGGCGUAAAGCGCGCGUAGGCGGUCUGAUAAGCCGGUUGUGAAAGCCCCGGGCUCAACCUGGGAACGGCAUCCGGAACUGUCAGGCUAGAGUGCAGGAGAGGAAGGUAGAAUUCCCGGUGUAGCGGUGAAAUGCGUAGAGAUCGGGAGGAAUACCAGUGGCGAAGGCGGCCUUCUGGACUGACACUGACGCUGAGGUGCGAAAGCGUGGGUAGCAAACAGGAUUAGAUACCCCUGUAGUC